rnacentral:rRNA from 1 species
UGGGGAAUCUUGCACAAUGGGGGAAACCCUGAUGCAGCGACGCCGCGUGAGCGAUGAAGCCCUUCGGGGUGUAAAGCUCUUUCGGCAGGAACGAUAAUGACGGUACCUGAAGAAGAAGCUGCGGCUAACUACGUGCCAGCAGCCGCGGUAAUACGUAGGCAGCAAGCGUUGUUCGGAGUUACUGGGCGUAAAGAGUGUGUAGGCUGUUCUCUAAGUUUGGUGUGAAAUCUCCCGGCUUAACUGGGAGGGUGCGCCGAAAACUGGAGGGCUUGAGUAUGGGAGAGGAAAGCGGAAUUCCUGGUGUAGCGGUGAAAUGCGUAGAUAUCAGGAGGAACACCUGCGGUGUAGACGGCUUUCUGGACCAUCACUGACGCUGAGACACGAAAGCGUGGGGAGCAAACA